rnacentral:rRNA from 1 species
UACGUAGGGACCAAGCGUUGUUCGGAUUUACUGGGCGUAAAGGGCGCGUAGGCGGCUUGACAAGUCACUUGUGAAAUCUCCGGGCUUAACUCGGAACGGCCAAGUGAAACUGUCAUGCUAGAGUGCAGAAGGGGCAAGCGGAAUUCUUGGUGUAGCGGUGAAAUGCGUAGAUAUCAAGAGGAACACCGGAGGUGAAGACGGGUUGCUGGGCUGACACUGACGCUGAGGCGCGAAAGCCAGGGGAGCAAACGGG